GAAGAGUUUGAUCAUGGCUCAGAUUGAACGCUGGCGGCAGGCCUAACACAUGCAAGUCGAACGGUAACAGGAAGCAGCUUGCUGCUUUGCUGACGAGUGGCGGACGGGUGAGUAAUGUCUGGGAAACUGCCUGAUGGAGGGGGAUAACUACUGGAAACGGUGGCUAAUACCGCAUAACGUCGCAAGACCAAAGAGGGGGACCUUCGGGCCUCUUGCCAUCAGAUGUGCCCAGAUGGGAUUAGCUUGUUGGUGAGGUAACGGCUCACCAAGGCGACGAUCCCUAGCUGGUCUGAGAGGAUGACCAGCCACACUGGAACUGAGACACGGUCCAGACUCCUACGGGAGGCAGCAGUGGGGAAUAUUGCACAAUGGGCGCAAGCCUGAUGCAGCCAUGCCGCGUGUAUGAAGAAGGCCUUCGGGUUGUAAAGUACUUUCAGCGGGGAGGAAGGUGUUGUGGUUAAUAACCGCAGCAAUUGACGUUACCCGCAGAAGAAGCACCGGCUAACUCCGUGCCAGCAGCCGCGGUAAUACGGAGGGUGCAAGCGUUAAUCGGAAUUACUGGGCGUAAAGCGCACGCAGGCGGUCUGUCAAGUCGGAUGUGAAAUCCCCGGGCUCAACCUGGGAACUGCAUUCGAAACUGGCAGGCUUGAGUCUUGUAGAGGGGGGUAGAA
rnacentral:rRNA from 1 species